CACCAAGCCCACCAUCCCCACACAUCGCGUGCCUUGGAUCGCGCCAUUGCCCUGCUCCCGUCGUUGUUCCCUUUCCCAUCCACCGCUGCUGUCCAUCGCAUCCAGCCUCUUUAACAUCCCAUCGGCUCCACCGCCACCAUGAACCAUCACUCUCCUUGGUCUCUUCUCUUUGACCUGCACACGACCGCAGAUGCUUCUGGUGGUGUGUGGCGACGCGGCCGAUCGAGGGAACCGGGGUGAGGCGGACUGUGUCUCGUUCGUGGAUCUGCCCCCAUCUUCUGUUCCUCCUCUCAGAAUGUCAUGUUCGCAGUUACUGCGACACACAAUGCUAUCCUCUUUUGCAGCGGUGCCUAUAGGUGACAACAAUGGUGUUCUCAUGUGCCCUGUUGUACCCCUCCACACUUGAGGCCGCCGAGGAGAAGAUCACGCUCCCUGUGGAAAAUUCGGCCAUGUUCUAAGUGGCUAACCGGCAAGGGUUGGACGACAUAAUGCCAACGACCUCACCCUAGGAGUCCACUUCACGGUCAUGGCAUCCGCCUCUACCAAUUAUCUAGAGGAGUUAAGUUCCAGAGACGAAUGGGGAGGUCAACUUUGAGAUGCAGCACUGUAUGUGUUCACGCAAUCGGAAUGGCCGAAAUAUCAUGCCAAUAUGAGGGACAUCCGAAAUAUCAAGCCAAUAUGCGUUUUAUGCCUUUCCUGUUAGAUAUGGAUGUUAAGCUAUGAGGAGAACCUUAUUGGCUCGGACAUCAUAUUUUUUAGAGGAAUGUUAGCUUGAGUACCAUACAGAGGGUGACGCAAGUGGUACUUGACAUACCAUGGCGUCCAAUGUCUAGGUUAGCAGACCCACAUGAUGUUUUGCUCUUUGCGUUCUGUACAUCAGCAAUGGACAAGAGCAAUGAUGGAGUCCUAAGAAAGAACCCAAAAAUAACUGCACUGUCUUAUUCACAUUUGAGGGCAAAACUACUUCAAGGAAUGAGGUUAAGCAAAGAUCGGUGCUCAAGAUGUUACGAGACACUUCUCAUGCAUGUUGAUAUUCUCCUUUUUUGAGUUUCCUUUAAGGUGCAGUAUUUUGUUUUAUUUGUUAUACAAAAUAGUGCAGCUGUUUGUGAUUUGAUAUGAAGGCAUGUAAUUCCUUGGAAAACUCCCACACUAUAUUUUGAUCCAAGUUCAGUUGUACUGAUGUCGAUUAAUACAUUUACAGUACAUUAUUAA